GAUGAAGAACGCAGCGAAAUGCGAUACGUAAUGUGAAUUGCAGAAUUCAGUGAAUCAUCGAAUCUUUGAACGCAUAUUGCGCUCUCUGGUAUUCCGGAGAGCAUGCUUGUUUGAGUAUCAGUAAACACCUCAACUUCCAUAUCUUUUUUGAAAUGGGAGUUGGACUUGAGUGAUCCCAACGCUUUUCCUCACCGAAAAGUGGCGGGUUACUUGAAAUGCAGGUGCAGCUGGACUUUUCUCUGAGCUAUAAGCAUAUCUAUUUAGUCUGCCUAAAAAACAGAUUAUUACCUUUGCGGCAGCUAACAUAAAGGAGAUUAGUUCUUGUGCUGACUGAUGCAGGAUUCACAAAGACAGGCUUCGGCCGACUUUGUAAACUCGAUCUCAAAUCAAGUAAGACUACCCGCUGAACUUAAGCAUAUCAAUAAGCGGAGGA
rnacentral:misc_RNA from 1 species